rnacentral:lncRNA from 1 species
CCUUAACCCGACUUAGCAAACAAGGAGGCUCCUGAAACGGUGCUGGGACCCGGGGGGCAAGCCCAGUCCCUGACCCCGCGCGGGGGAGGUGAGCCGCCUACAAGCCCCUCCCGCGCACCUUCCUCCUCCUCCAGGGGAAUUCUGGGCGUGCAGGCAACAGCAAUGCUGGGACCGGCGCUGCCCGCUGGGAGGGUCUGAGUCCGGGAGGGGGCGGCCCUUGCCCUCCGCUGCCACCUCCCACGGCCCCUCAGUGUCGCCCUGCUGGCCUGUGCCUGGAUCACUCUCCCUGCUGUGGCCUGCCUGCCCAUCUCCUUCUUGCGUGGGGUCUGUACCUUCCCUUCCUCCCUACCAUCCCUCUUUCCCCAAAACUCCGGUCCUUCCUCCCACCUUCCGGGAAAAUGCAAAUGUCCCACUUCCUCCCGCAAAGGGGACCCUCCCCCCAGCCCGUCGCCACCUUCAGGUUCACAGCAGGCAGCUCCAUCCCGACUCAGGCCGAGGGCACCUGCGCCGCAGCCGCGGGGGGCUCCUAGGCUCCGAACUCGGGGAACAAACUUGCCCGGCCCCGCCCCGCCCCGCCCGUUGCGGCCACUCCAACCCCAGCGCAGCUCAAGACCACGUGAAACGGGCUGGAGCGGGUCACGUGACCGCCGCUUGGUUGCUAGGAGACGGCGUCGGCAGCUCGCGCCUUCAGCCAAGCUCCAGACUCCCGCCACCGCCCAGGCAGUACUUGGGGGCCGCUGGCGAAAGUUGGAGUUUCUGUCGCCCAGGGCGUAUCCUGCCUGGCUAAUAUUCCAGGAAGCGGACUGUUCGGACUGCCUGCAGCCAGGACAACUGGGGGACCGUCCAGGCGCAAAGUGCUGAUGUGGCAACAGCUUGUGUCUCAUCCUUGGGGGCACCCUCUCUCCUUCCCACUUCCCUGUGUAAAUGGGCUAUUUAGGCUACCUACCUCAUAUGAUCCUUAUGAGGAUUAAAUGAGCUAACUGCUGUUGUUAAAGAAAACGUUAUUGGGACUGUUGUUAAACCAGUACUGUUCAAGACUUGCUGUAGGGUUAUUGCCAUGGAGUGAGAGUUUGGGCUCAACACCGAAUACAACAAGGACCAAGGAGGGAUUUAUAGCCAGAGCAGAAUGAGGGAGCAGGAAUGGAAGAUUCCUAGGAGGAGACAUCAAGGAUGGGGGAGUUCUUGCUAACUUAGCAGGACUCUUGCUGAAACUGGUUUAUUAUGCAGGCUCAGGCCCAGCAAGGACAGGAAGACACAGAGGUCCAAGGCCGAGGCCUAGUCAAGAUGAGGACUCAGAGGAGUCUAACUACGGUUUGUUCUAGGAGAGAACAGUGCCCGGCACUUAGUAAAUGGGCAGGACACACAAGCUAUUGUUAUUACCAACACAAGAUGAGGCUGGGCGCAGUGGCUCACCCCUGUUAUCCCAGCACUUUGGGAGGCCAAGGAGGGUGGAUCACCUGAACUCAGUAGUUCGAGACCAGCCUGGCCAACAUGGUGAAACCCCGUCUCUACUAAAAAUACCAAAAUUAGCAGGGCAUGGUGGUGUGCACCUGCAGUCCCAGCUACUCAGGAGGCUGAGGCACGAGAAUUGCUUGAACCGGGGAGGCUGCAGUGAGCCGAGAUCACGCCACUACACUCCAGCCUGGACGACAGGGUGAGACCUUGUCUGGGAAAAACAAACAAACAAAAAGCAACACCUGAGGAGCCAAAUUGGUGGGAGCCCACUUUAAUCAGCAUACCAAAAGUUUUAGAAAACUCUAGCUGAAAAACCAUAAGAAAUUCCUCCCCCAAUUGUACAUGAGGAAAGAAAGGGCUGUCUCCUGCCUCACCUGGCACCUCCCUUAAAGAUUGUUGACCACCACAUCCCCCCACCGCAACAAGAACAUUAAUCCGCUCUACCUCCAGGUCCCUUCCUAACAUCAACUUUCCUUUAGAGAACACCAGCUUUUGUUUAGUGUCACCUAGGUAUGGAAACCUUCAGGGUACACCUGA